GCAUGGCUUNAUCUUUGAGACAAGCAUAUGACUACUGGCAGGAUCAACCAGGUAGCAUUCCUUCACGACGUCCGCCGAGCAUUGUCCAUCGUUGAGAAGCCCGAGAGCUACACGAGGUCAAAAACAAGGCAAGAGCGUCAUUUCGGUGAAGAGCGAUAAACGCUUCAGAUUGGGAACAAGGGCCAAUGACCCUAGAACCCACGAAAAACGGUCCGCAUCCGAGAGAACAAGUGAAGCACUCACGUUCCGUGCGAACAAUCAAAAGAGAUGUGCUCGAGGAACGCAAGCCCCACUAUCUGAUCCAACCGAGCACCCAAAGAGGGUGUCGCGUUGAAAUGGACAAACAAUAGGCACAAAUUUCCGUCGCGAUAGGUAUGCAGCACAGGAACCCGCUUUUUGCAUCCACAUAGCUCGUGGAGCGAAACUUGAUCGAAAGUGAGGGGAGCAGUUCGAUGCACCAGCACGGAGCCUGCCAACACACACUUUCUUAUCACC
rnacentral:misc_RNA from 1 species